rnacentral:rRNA from 1 species
AUUGAACGCUGGCGGCAGGCCUAACACAUGCAAGUCGAGCGGAGCGGCGGACGGGUGAGUAAUGCCUAGGAAUCUGCCUGGUCGUGGGGGAUAACGUCCGGAAACGGGCGCUAAUACCGCAUACUAUCAGAUGAGCCUAGGGCGGAUUAGCUAGUUGGGGGGGUAAAGGUCUACCAAGGCGACGAUCCGUAUCUGGUCUGAGAGGAUGAUCAGUCACACUGGAACUGAGACACGGUCCAGACUCCUACGGGAGUCAGCAGUGGGGAAUAUUGGACAAUGGGAGAAAGCCUGAUCCAGCCAUGCCGCGUGUGUGAAGAAGGUCUUCGGAUUGUAAAGCACUUUUAUUUGGGAGGCGUUACCAGCAGAAUAAGCACCGGCUAACUUCGUGCCAGCAGCCGCGGUAAUUC